UUGUGUUCUUUGCUUCUCUAUCAUCACUUCACCCUCAUCACCACUCAGACACCACCCCUUCACCCCACAUCAGCCAAAACACUCAUCCCUUCCCUUCCUCCUCAACGAUCUCUUAUCUGUGAUACAAAACACUGGCGAAGGAGAGAGAGAACCAUGUUUGAAGAGAUAGAGCGCCGCGAGAGUAGAUAUAGAAAGAGCGCCGGUGUUGCAGUGCUGUUGUCGGCUGCUCGAGGGGGCGAGGUUGUCUUUAGUGAACAUGAUCAUGAACAAAAGCUUAAAUGAUGCCGGAAUGAAGAGGGUACCUUCACGGUGGAAAGGCAUAUGCGAGGAAGGAGAAAAAUUUAACAAAUCCAACUGCAAUAGGAAAAGCAUUGGUGCUCGAUGGUACGUUAAGGGAUACGAAGCCGAAUUUGGAAAUUUGGACACAAUCGAUGGUUCUGAAUUUCUUUCACCGCGCGAUGCGUAUGGUCAUGGGACCCACAUUUCCUCCAUUGCAUCAGGGGCAAUAGUAAAAGACACCAGUUUCUUCGGGCUAGCCCGUGGGUUAGCCCGAGGUGGAACACCAUCAUCUCAUUUGGCUAUAUAUAAGGUUUGUCGGGCCACUGGUGGUUGUAGCUCGGCUGAUAUUCUUGCUGCAUUUGAUGAUUCCAUCCAUGAUGGUGUGCAUGUUAUUUCUGUUUCGUUGGGCACUUCUUCGCCGUUACCUACGUAUGUUGAUGAUCCGUUAUCCAUUGAUUCGUUUCAUGUUGUGGCUCGUCGGAUCGCUGUGGUUUCUUCUUGUGGAAAUUUUGGCUCGUAUCCUCAAACCGUAAUUAACACAGCUCCGUGGAUUAUUUCUGUGGCUGCAAGCACCAUUGAUAGAGUUUUCCCCACCUCCAUUAUGCUUGGAAACAAUCAGACAUUUGUGGUAUAGAAAAAUUGGUGUACACAACAAGGGCAUUUCUACCGUUGGAAUUGUUCAUUUUGCUCAAAGAUCGAUAUAUAAAAGGGAAUCUGUAUGUUAAUUCUAGGGCGAUACCGGCAAACACUAUAAGUAACAAAAGGAGUCACGAGUCCAUUAUUUCCUAGCAUCGGUACGCCAUUUGAUAAAUGUAUUGGUUGAAGAUAUUAUCUCAUGUAUCCCUAAACUUGGCAUAAUAUCAUAUUAAAAAAAUACGCUUUUCAAAUUUAUGAUGUUUAUACACGAGUUCAUGGAGGUGGUGCAAUGGUUUGGAGGAUACAGAGAUGAACUUUUGUCAGGUCAUCCAUGGAUUAGAAAUAAGGUCAGUGAAGUGAAGUGCCUCUUGAUAUAUCUAUAUUAACAUUAAUGAAGAACUAUAUACGUUCUUCUGCUCUUCGUAAAGCUACUUUACGGGUGUUAUAGAAGACAUUGCUGUAGAUGAGCUGUUUUAUCCGAAGGAGCAUUUUUCUUUGUUGGAACCGAGCAAAAGCGAGACCAUAAACAUGGAAAAUAUAAAAGCAGUAACCGGGAAUUGCUAUAUCUUUUGUUUUGUUAGUUCAUAUAACUAUAUAAAAACAUUCUCCAGUAAGCGUUUCCUUAUAACUCUAGCUUUAAAUUAUAUGCAGAGAGGUGCUUCAAUUUAACUCAGAUUACUUAUUUAAAAUGUAAUUGCUCUAUGGCUCUACACAGCUCUAAGAUCAAUAUACUUCGAGUCAACUUUGUGGUCCACGACGCAACGCGCGCAGGUCCGUUUUCUAGUUAAUAUCUUAUAUGUCAACAUUUUGGAGUAUAUGACUAAAAAGGGGUAGCUAAAGCCUAAAGGAUCGUUUGCACGACCA